UGAACGCUGGCGGCGUGCCUAAUACAUGCAAGUCGAGCGAACGGACGAGAAGCUUGCUUCUCUGAUGUUAGCGGCGGACGGGUGAGUAACACGUGGAUAACCUACCUAUAAGACUGGGAUAACUUCGGGAAACCGGAGCUAAUACCGGAUAAUAUUUUGAACCGCAUGGUUCAAAAGUGAAAGACGGUCUUGCUGUCACUUAUAGAUGGAUCCGCGCUGCAUUAGCUAGUUGGUAAGGUAACGGCUUACCAAGGCAACGAUGCAUAGCCGACCUGAGAGGGUGAUCGGCCACACUGGAACUGAGACACGGUCCAGACUCCUACGGGAGGCAGCAGUAGGGAAUCUUCCGCAAUGGGCGAAAGCCUGACGGAGCAACGCCGCGUGAGUGAUGAAGGUCUUCGGAUCGUAAAACUCUGUUAUUAGGGAAGAACAUAUGUGUAAGUAACUGUGCACAUCUUGACAGUACCUAAUCAGAAAGCCACGGCUAACUACGUG
rnacentral:rRNA from 1 species